UACGGAGGGGGCUAGCGUUGUUCGGAAUUACUGGGCGUAAAGCGCACGUAGGCGGCUUUGUAAGUUAGAGGUGAAAGCCCAGGGCUUAACCCUGGAAUUGCCUUUAAGACUGCAUCGCUAGAAUCGUGGAGAGGUGAGUGGAAUUCCGAGUGUAGAGGUGAAAUUCGUAGAUAUUCGGAAGAACACCAGUGGCGAAGGCGACUCACUGGACACGUAUUGACGCUGAGACACGAAAGCGUGGGGAGCAAACAGG
rnacentral:rRNA from 1 species